UACGUAGGUGACAAGCGUUGUCCGGAUUUACUGGGCGUAAAGAGCGCGCAGGCGGUCGAUCAAGUCGAGUGUGAAAGCCCCCGGCUCAACUGGGGAGGGUCAUUCGAUACUGAUCGACUCGAAGGCAGGAGAGGGUAGUGGAAUUCCCGGUGUAGUGGUGAAAUGCGUAGAUAUCUGGAGGAACACCGGUGGCGAAGGCGGCAUCCUGGACCGAUAUUGACGCUGAGGAGCGAAAGCCAGGGGAGCAAACGGG
rnacentral:rRNA from 1 species